UACAGAGGUCCCAAGCGUUGUUCGGAUUCACUGGGCGUAAAGGGUGCGUAGGUGGUUGGGAAAGUUUGAUGUGAAAGCUCGGAGCUUAACUCCGAAAUGGCAUUGAAUACUUCUUAACUUGAGGGUCGGAGGGGAGACUGGAAUUCUCGGUGUAGCAGUGAAAUGCGUAGAUAUCAGGAGGAACACCGAUGGCGAAGGCAGGUCUCUGGGCAUUAACUGACGCUGAGGAGCGAAAGCAUGGGGAGCGAACAGG
rnacentral:rRNA from 1 species